rnacentral:rRNA from 1 species
GUGUGCCACACCUGACGUUCUAAUUUUAGAGGAAGGAGAAGUCGUAACAAGGUUUCUGUAGGUGAACCUGCAGAAGGAUCAUUU